GACGAACGCUGGCGGCGUGCUUAACACAUGCAAGUCGAACGCUGAAGCCCUUUCGGGGGUGGAUGAGUGGCGAACGGGUGAGUAACACGUGGGUAAUCUGCCCUGUACUUCGGGAUAAGCCUUGGAAACGGGGUCUAAUACCGGAUAGGACCUGUCCUCGCAUGGGGGUGGGUGGAAAGUUCCGGCGGUAUGGGAUGAGCCCGCGGCCUAUCAGCUUGUUGGUGGGGUAGUGGCCUACCAAGGCGACGACGGGUAGCCGGCCUGAGAGGGUGACCGGUCACACUGGGACUGAGACACGGCCCAGACUCCUACGGGAGGCAGCAGUGGGGAAUCUUGCGCAAUGGGCGAAAGCCUGACGCAGCAACGCCGCGUGGGGGAUGACGGCCUUCGGGUUGUAAACCUCUUUCGACAUCGACGAAGGGGCCCUGUUGUGGGGUUUUGACGGUAGGUGUAGAAGAAGCACCGGCUAACUACGUGCCAGCCGCCGCAGUAA
rnacentral:rRNA from 1 species